GGGGGUAUAGCUCAGUGGUAGAGCACAUGCUUAGCAUGCACAAAGUCCUGGGUUCAAUCCCAAGUACCUACA
rnacentral:tRNA from 1 species